AGAAAGAAACCAAAACAUUAAAAACCAUUAAUAUUGUAAAUGUUAUAUAUGCUACUGUGGUGAAAAUAUUUUUUAUCUAUCAUGUUGCUACUCAGUAUGGUAAAUUUGCCUUAUGAAUGUUGACUCUAGUAGGCUCUUUUUCAAUAUCCUUUUUUUAAAACAAAACAAUCUUUUUUUGACACUAAGAUUGUUAAUUUUUAACACCAGUUGGUGGCACUAGAAACCUGAAAUUUUUCAAGGCUCUGAACAAGAGAAAAUAAUUGAAAAAGUAUCCAAACAUGAAGAAUUUUCAGGAAGAUAAAUGAAAAAUAUAAUUGUAUAAUAAAGAUGUAUUUUCUGGGAUGGAAUCCUUUUUUAAAAUGCAUAUGGCUGUCCAUUUCGACUACAGUGAUGAAACUUGUUUAUCUUCCAAAAGUCCACACACACACACACACACACACACACACACGUGUGUGUGCAUGUGCGUUGUACAGAUAAUCUUUAAUUUGAUUACACUGUUCAUUUUGUAAAUAUGUUUCUGUAUAAAAUGAAGCUUUUCAAGAGAAUUCUAUGUAUAUAUUGUACUUAUUAAAUAGGUAAUGCCUGUUUACCAAGUUGUAUUUUAGUAGCAUCUUUGAUUAUUUAUUUGCAUACACCAUACAUUAUUUAUUUGCUAAACAGACUGAUUCUCCAGACUGUUGGCAAGGCUGCCUCAGAUGGCUUGAAUUUUCAUUUUUAAACCACAGUAGGAAUUUUUGCUUUUCACAGUUUUCUUUAUUAUACCAAUUAUUAUUAGAAGUCACUGAACAAUAGUAAGCAGAUUUAAAUUGAAUGCCACGUUCUAUUUCAAAUUUGUUUUAAUUAUUGGUAACAAAAUUUGGCCUUUUACAAAAGGCAGAUUUUCACAUGCGCGUUUUCACAGUGAUUUUCACAU